GCAGUCGAACGCACUGACGUCGACCGAAGCUGCUUGCAGUGGACGUUGAUUGACGUGAGUGGCGGACGGGUGAGUAACACGUGGGUAACCUACCCUUAAGUGGGGGAUAACAUUUGGAAACAGAUGCUAAUACCGCAUAACCAUUCAGACCACAUGGUCUGAAUGUAAAAGACGGCCUUUGGCUGUCACUUUUGGACGGACCCGCGGCGUAUUAGUUAGUUGGUAAGGUAACGGCUUACCAAGACAAUGAUACGUAGCCGACCUGAGAGGGUAAUCGGCCACAUUGGGACUGAGACACGGCCCAAACUCCUACGGGAGGCAGCAGUAGGGAAUCUUCCACAAUGGACGAAAGUCUGAUGGAGCAACGCCGCGUGAGUGAAGAAGGUUUUAGGAUCGUAAAACUCUGUUGUUGGAGAAGAACAGGGACUAGAGUAACUGUUAGUCCUUUGACGGUAUCCAACCAGAAAGCCACGGCUAACUACGUGCCAGCAGCCGCGGUAAUACGUAGGUGGCAAGCGUUGUCCGGAUUUAUUGGGCGUAAAGCGAGCGCAGGCGGUUUUUUAAGUCUGAUGUGAAAGCCUUCGGCUUAACCGAAGAAGUGCAUUAGAAACUGGGAAACUUGAGUGCAGAAGAGGACAGUGGAACUCCAUGUGUAGCGGUGAAAUGCGUAGAUAUAUGGAAGAACAC
rnacentral:rRNA from 2 species